rnacentral:lncRNA from 1 species
GCUUAACUGGUACAUCUGGACUCUGAUGAGUGAGAAGUCCAAGCAAAUAGAAAAGCCACAGCCAAACGAUAAAACUCUGCAAAGACAAUGUCUAGCACUUAUAUCUCCAGUAACUCCUGUCAAGGUUUAUUGUUGCUUGUUCAUCAUUGCAGUCCUGACUACAAGUGUGAUUGCACUUUCUAUUGUUUUGUCAGAAUUUCCUGAAAAGAUACAAAGGCCCUUCUGACCAUUGGAUUGGCCUUAGAAGAGAAUCAUCCCAUCGCAUUUGGAAAUGGACAGACAACAUGGAAUAUAAUAACAUUUUUCACACAUUUACAAAACAAUUUGGGAGGAGGCUGGAAAUCAUCUUGACUGAAGACCACCAAUGGCAGCAGUUCAUUUGGGCUUGCUAUCAGAGGAAGUGGAGAAUGUGCCUUCCUGAAUGACAAUGGAGUCAACAGUGGCAGAAUCUACAUGAACAGAAAAUGGAUUUGUAGCAAGCCAAACAAUUAUGUCUACAGUUGCCAGUUAUGUCCCCACUGGGAUACUACCUAGUAGAGCUGUGAGAAGAGGGCCACCAUCCUCCAGACUCCAGAAUGGUGGAAUCAGCAGCAGCUUCCACCAUGCCCCUGGAAAAACUGCAAGUAACAGACCUGCACAUGUAUCCCCUACAUCUAAAAUAAAAGUUGGAAAAAAUGGAACUUUGAUGUUAAGAUGCACUGAUACAAAACUUAAAUUUUGGUCUCCUACAUUAAAACAAUAUGAGUCUCUUAAAAUAUUGAUUUGUUCUUAGUAAGAUUACAAGAGGCUUUGAUUUUUAAUUCUGCAAUGUUUCCUUAACAGCCAUUCUGAAUUACAAACUAAUUCCUAUUUCUGCCACAUUCCUUCCUGAGAACUGUCUAGUCCUGGUUUGGGAUUUAUCUUAAAGGUCUAGAAAGGCAACAUUUUACUUCAGCAAAACUUGAUUCUAUAUUGUUGUUUUUUCUUAAUGUGUCAAAAUUGUUUUGUUACUAGGAUUUCCUAUGUUGUUAUUAAAUGUAUUCCCCUGAUCAAGGUCACUGGCCUAGAAAACAAAGAUUCUGUGUUUUACCAAGAUAAUUCCCAGUGCUUCAUGGUGUCUUUAUUAGGCUUUGACUGCUUAGGGAAACUGAGCCUUAAAAGGGUAAAAGUUUUUCCAUCCAUGUAACUUUCUGAGGUCUUUAGGUUGUCACUCUGAUUAAAUGAGUAGUAUUCUUAGCAGUGACUUAUUAUCUGUUGAAGGAAGUAUUUUAAGCUUUUUGACAUCUUUGGCAGGUUUCUCUAGAAUCCAAAUCCUAAAUUAAGCCUUUUGGCCUAAAAAUGACUGGGAUUUUUCCAGGUGGACCCCCUAGAUAUGCUCCUCCAAAGGCUUGUCUUUCUUGUAGAGUUAUUAAAUGAUUAGGCUUAUUUGGCAAAUACUGCUAGAAGCAUUGUCAAAUAAGAAAUGGUGUUUUACCUUUCUUUAAGCUGUGUUUGUGUAAGUUCAUCAUUUAUAGAAAUGUGAAAUUUUAUGAGAUUCCUAAGAUACUGACAUGCUGAGAUACCUGUAAUAAUUGCAAUUUUUAUGUUGGAUGAUUGUAUGCCACAGAAGCACUUAAAUUUCCUGGUUAAUUGGUAACGUUAAUCAGAUCUUUACCUAUGGCUGUUCUGGGUUUUUGUCAUUCACAGUUAUUAUUUUAAUUUCUUCUUUGGAAGCGUUCGCAAUCAGCUAUAGUCCAAAAUUGCUAAUUAAGAUCAAGCAAAACAAAAUUAAUUACGUAAAAUUAAUUUAUAAGGAUGUUUUUAUGACGUAAAUGUUUUAUUUUCCAGAGCCAAGGAAAUUUUCUGUCACAAGCUAUCUACCGUUUGCAAUAAUUUGAUAAAUAAUCCUUUGUGAACAA